rnacentral:rRNA from 1 species
AGGCCUACCAUGGUGGUAACGGGUAACGGGGUGUUAGGGCACGACACCGGAGAGGGAGCCUGAGAAACGGCUACCACAUCCAAGGAUGGCAGCAGGCGCGCAAAUUACCCAAUCCCGACACGGGGAGGUAGUGACAAUAAAUAACAAUACGGGGUUCUUUCGGAUCUCGUAAUUGGAAUGAGUACAAUUUAAAUCUCUUAACGAGGAACAAUUGGAGGGCAAGUCUGGUGCCAGCAGCCGCGGUAAUUCCAGCUCCAAUAGCGUAUAUUAAAGUUGUUGCAGUUAAAAAGCUCGUAGUUGAAUUUCGGGGUUAGUAGGUUGGUCAUGCCUCUGGUAUGUACUGAUCUCACUGAUUCCUCCUUCCUGAUGAACCGUAAUGCCAUUAAUUUGGUGUUGCGGGGAAUUUGGACUGUUACUUUGAAAAAAUUAGAGUGUUUAAAGCAAGCUAACGCUUGAAUACAUUAGCAUGGAAUAAUGAAAUAGGACGUUCGAUCCUAUUUUGUUGGUUUCUAGGAUUGACGUAAUGAUUAAUAGGGAUAGUUGGGGGCAUUAGUAUUCAAUUGUCAGAGGUGAAAUUCUUGGAUUUAUUGAAGACUAACUACUGCGAAAGCAUUUGCCAAGGAUGUUUUCAUUAAUCAAGAACGAAAGUUAGGGGAUCGAAGACGAUCAGAUACCGUCGUAGUCUUAACCAUAAACUAUGCCGACUAGGGAUCGGA